rnacentral:rRNA from 1 species
AGUGAACGCUGGCGGUAGGCCUAACACAUGCAAGUCGAACGGCAGCACAGUAAGAGCUUGCUCUUACGGGUGGCGAGUGGCGGACGGGUGAGGAAUACAUCGGAAUCUACUUUUUCGUGGGGGAUAACGUAGGGAAACUUACGCUAAUACCGCAUACGACCCACGGGUGAAAGCAGGGGAUCUUCGGACCUUGCGCGAUUGAAUGAGCCGAUGUCGGAUUAGCUAGUUGGCGGGGUAAAGGCCCACCAAGGCGACGAUCCGUAGCUGGUCUGAGAGGAUGAUCAGCCACACUGGAACUGAGACACGGUCCAGACUCCUACGGGAGGCAGCAGUGGGGAAUAUUGGACAAUGGGCGCAAGCCUGAUCCAGCCAUACCGCGUGGGUGAAGAAGGCCUUCGGGUUGUAAAGCCCUUUUGCUGGGAAAGAAAAGCAGCAGGUUAAUACCCCGCUGUUCUGACGGUACCCAAAGAAUAAGCACCGGCUAACUUCGUG